rnacentral:rRNA from 1 species
GUGUCAGCAGCCGCGGUAAGACAGAGGGUGCAAGCGUUGUUCGGAAUUAUUGGGCGUAAAGGGCGCGUAGGCGGCUUUGAAAGUCGGAUGUGAAAGCCCAGGGCUUAACCCUGGAAGUGCACCCGAUACUACUUAGCUUGAGUCCCGGAGAGGGUGGUGGAAUUCCUGGUGUAGAGGUGAAAUUCGUAGAUAUCAGGAGGAACACCGGUGGCGAAGGCGACCACCUGGACGGAGACUGACGCUGAGGCGCGAAAGCGUGGGGAGCAAACAGGAUUAGAUACCCUAGUAGUCC